UACGUAGGGUGCGAGCGUUAAUCGGAAUUACUGGGCGUAAAGCGCGCGCAGGCGGCGCCGCAAGUCAGGCGUGAAAUCCCCGAGCUUAACUUGGGAAUGGCGCUUGAAACUACGGUGCUGGAGUGUGGCAGAGGGAGGUGGAAUUCCACGUGUAGCGGUGAAAUGCGUAGAGAUGUGGAGGAACACCGAUGGCGAAGGCAGCCUCCUGGGCCAACACUGACGCUCAUGCACGAAAGCGUGGGGAGCAAACAGG
rnacentral:rRNA from 1 species